AACAAACGCUGGCGGCGUGCCUAAUACAUGCAAGUCGAACGGGGAAAGUAGCAAUACGAGUACUAGUGGCGCACGGGUGAGGAAUACAUGGGUAAUCUGCCCUCGAGUUUGGGAUAACCAGUCGAAAGAUUGGCUAAUACCGGAUAUGACCACAGGAUCUGCGGAUCUAGGGGUAAAAGGUUUUUCGCUCGAGGAUGAGCCCAUGUGGGAUUAGCUAGUUGGUGAGGUAACGGCUCACCAAGGCGACGAUCCCUAACUGGUCUUAGAGGAUGAUCAGUCACACUGGAACUGAGACACGGUCCAGACUCCUACGGGAGGCAGCAGUAGGGAAUAUUGCACAAUGGAGGAAACUCUGAUGCGGCGACGCCGCGUGAGUGAUGAAGGCCUUCGGGUCGUAAAGCUCUGUCGUAUGGGACUAACACAAUGAAGGUACCAUGCAAGAAAGGAUCGGCUAACUUCGUGCCAGCAGCCGCAGUAA
rnacentral:rRNA from 1 species